GCGAAUCUUGCGAGAGGAUUUCAACAACUCGGUCGCGGUUGAUUCGAUUUUGAAUUUUUUUACUGGGCGGUGUUACGAAACUCAAUAAACAUCAAGAUGAUGCCUUGUUUCUGUGUUUCAGUUUAUAAUGCAUCGCCGUGAUAUGUUUGCUAUAUUGCCAAGAGGGAAUUCCGUGUGCGUGUCUGCCUAGUAAUCAAGCAUGUCAAGACAAGAUGGGAGUCUUUAUAGGCC